AAGUCGUAACAAGGUUUCCGUAGGUGAACCUGCGGAAGGAUCAUUAACACGUGUCCACACGUCAACAACCGUGAACCCACCCUCCCUAACUGUGUUUCGUCGUCGAGAUCGAUUCGUGAUGGGUGAGUGCGCCGCAAGGCAAUCUCACAAUCGAUCUUGGCUAGAGUCUCGAGCUCAGACGGUCUCCGUUAGGCCCAUAUUUUUUCCCCAAAACUCCCAUCACGGUUUGACCCACCAAUUUCACCCCUUGUAACCCUGUGACUAACCUCGAUCGAAUGGGAGAAAUCCUGUUUGAUUUGUUUAUCUAAACUAAGUACAACUCUUAGCAAUGGAUAUCUUGGUUCUC
rnacentral:misc_RNA from 1 species